rnacentral:rRNA from 1 species
AGAGUUUGAUCAUGGCUCAGAACGAACGUUGGCGGCGUGGAUUAGGCAUGCAAGUCGAACGAAUCCUGCGGGGGCAACUCUGCGGGGGAAGUGGCGAAAGGGGCAGUAAGGCGUGGGUAACCUACCCCGGGGACUGGGAUAGCCAUCCUAACGGAUGGGUAAUACCGGGCGAUCUAACUGGAGGGCAUCCUUUGGUUAGC